GCCAGGCACAGUGGCGUGUGCCUGUAAUCCCAGCUACAUGGGAGGCUGAGGCAGGAGAAUCGCUUGAAUCUGGGAGACAGAGGUUGCAGUGAGCUGAGAUCACACCACUGCACUCCAGCCUGGGUGACAGAGCCAGACUCUGUCUCAG
rnacentral:SRP_RNA from 1 species